GGACGCAGAGAUGGUC
rnacentral:misc_RNA from 1 species